rnacentral:rRNA from 1 species
GAGUUUGAUCAUGGCUCAGAUUGAACGCUGGCGGCAUGCCUUACACAUGCAAGUCGAACGGCAGCAUGAUCUAGCUUGCUAGAUUGAUGGCGAGUGGCGAACGGGUGAGUAAUACAUCGGAACGUGCCCUGUAGUGGGGGAUAACUAGUCGAAAGAUUAGCUAAUACCGCAUACGACCUGAGGGUGAAAGUGGGGGACCGCAAGGCCUCAUGCUAUAGGAGCGGCCGAUGUCUGAUUAGCUAGUUGGUGGGGUAAAGGCCCACCAAGGCGACGAUCAGUAGCUGGUCUGAGUGGACGAUCAGCCACACUGGGACUGAGACACGGCCCAGACUCCUACGGGAGGCAGCAGUGGGGAAUUUUGGACAAUGGGCGAAAGCCUGAUCCAGCAAUGCCGCGUGUGUGAAGAAGGCCUCGG